rnacentral:rRNA from 1 species
UACGUAGGGUGCAAGCGUUGUCCGGAAUUAUUGGGCGUAAAGAGCUCGUAGGCGGUCUGUCGCGUCGGCUGUGAAAUCCCGAGGCUCAACCUCGGGUCUGCAGUCGAUACGGGCAAACUAGAGUAUUGCAGGGGAGACUGGAAUUCCUGGUGUAGCGGUGAAAUGCGCAGAUAUCAGGAGGAACACCGGUGGCGAAGGCGGGUCUCUGGGCAAUAACUGACGCUGAGGAGCGAAAAGCAUGGGGGAGCGAACAGG